AGUGAACGCUGGCGGUAGGCCUAACACAUGCAAGUCGAACGGCAGCACAGUAAGAGCUUGCUCUUACGGGUGGCGAGUGGCGGACGUGUGAGGAAUACAUCGGAAUCUACUUUUUCGUGGGGGAUAACGUAGGGAAACUUACGCUAAUACCGCAUACGACCUACGGGUGAAAGCAGUGGAUCUUCGGACCUUGCGCGAUUGAAUGAGCCGAUGUCGGAUUAGCUAGUUGGCGGGGUAAAGGCCCACCAAGGCGACGAUCCGUAGCUGGUCUGAGAGGCUGAUCAGCCACACUGGAACUGAGACACGGUCCAGACUCCUACGGGAGGCAGCAGUGGGGAAUAUUGGACAAUGGGCGCAAGCCUGAUCCAGCCAUACCGCGUGGGUGAAGAAGGCCUUCGGGUUGUAAAGCCCUUUUGUUGGGAAAGAAAAGCAGCAGGUUAAUACCCCGCUGUUCUGACGGUACCCAAAGAAUAAGCACCGGCUAACUUCGUG
rnacentral:rRNA from 1 species